UCUGCUCAAUGAAAAUUAAAUAGCCGCAAUUAUAUUGUGCUAAGGUAGCAUAAUCAUUUGUUUUUUAAUUAAAGACUAGAAUAAAAGAUUUCACUUUUAAUUUAUUUUUUUUAUAUUAAAUUUUAAAAUUUAUUUUAAAUAUUAAAAAAUAUUUAUAAUUAAAAAAGACAAUAAGACCCUAUUAAAUUUUACUAAAGUUUAACUGGGAAAGUUAAUUAAUUAUUAUUUUAAUUUAAAUUUUUAAUAAUUUCCAAUAACAUUGAAUAAAAUAAAUUACUAUAGGGAUAACAGCGUAAUAAUUUUCUAAAGAUCUUAUUUUAAAAAUAGUUUACGACCUCGAUGUUGAAUUAUUUUUCUAAUUAAUGCAAGCAUUAGUAAAGAAAGUCUGUUCGACUUUUAAUUAAUUACAUGAUCUGAGUUCAAACCGGAG
rnacentral:rRNA from 1 species